ACGAAGCAUUUAGAACAGAUUACUUCGGUUUGAAGUUCUUUAUGACUGAGUGGCGGACGGGUGAGUAACGCGUGGGUAACCUGCCUUGUACUGGGGGAUAGCAGCUGGAAACGGCUGGUAAUACCGCAUAAGCGCACAAUGUUGCAUGACAUGGUGUGAAAAACUCCGGUGGUAUAAGAUGGACCCGCGUCUGAUUAGCCAGUUGGUGAGAUAACAGCCCACCAAGGCGACGAUCAGUAGCCGACCUGAGAGGGUGACCGGCCACAUUGGGACUGAGACACGGCCCAGACUCCUACGGGAGGCAGCAGUGGGGAAUAUUGCACAAUGGAGGAAACUCUGAUGCAGCGACGCCGCGUGAGUGAAGAAGUAAUUCGUUAUGUAAAGCUCUAUCAGCAGGGAAGAUAGUGACGGUACCUGACUAAGAAGCUCCGGCUAAAUACGUGCCAGCAGCCGCGGUAAUACGUAUGGAGCAAGCGUUAUCCGGAUUUACUGGGUGUAAAGGGAGUGUAGGUGGCCAUGCAAGUCAGAAGUGAAAAUCCGGGGCUCAACCCCGGAACUGCUUUUGAAACUGUAAGGCUGGAGUGCAGGAGGGGUGAGUGGAAUUCC
rnacentral:rRNA from 1 species